rnacentral:rRNA from 1 species
AUUGAACGCUGGCGGCAGGCCUAACACAUGCAAGUCGAACGGUAACAGGAAGCAGCUUGCUGCUUCGCUGACGAGUGGCGGACGGGUGAGUAAUGUCUGGGAAACUGCCCGAUGGAGGGGGAUAACUACUGGAAACGGUAGCUAAUACCGCAUAACGUCGCAAGACCAAAGAGGGGGACCUUCGGGCCUCUUGCCAUCGGAUGUGCCCAGAUAGGGAUUAGCUUUUUGGUGAGGUAACAGCUCACCAAUGCGACGAUCCCUAGCUGGUCGGAGAUGUGGACCGACCACGAUGGGACGGAGACACGGUCCAGACUCCUACGGGAGGCAGCAGUGGGGAAUAUUGCACAAUGGGCGCAAGCCUGAUGCAGCCAUGCCGCGUGUAUGAAGAAGGCCUUCGGGUUGUAAAGUACUUUCAGCGGGGAGGAAGGGGUUAAGGUUAAUAACCUUAGCCAUUGACGUUACCCGCAGAAGAAGCACCGGCUAACUCCGUGCCAGCCGCCGCCGUAAGAC